rnacentral:rRNA from 1 species
AUUGAACGCUGGCGGCAGGCCUAACACAUGCAAGUCGAACGGUAACAGGAAGCAGCUUGCUGCUUCGCUGACGAGUGGCGGACGGGUGAGUAAUGUCUGGGAAGCUGCCUGAUGGAGGGGGAUAACUACUGGAAACGGUAGCUAAUACCGCAUAAUGUCGCAAGACCAAAGAGGGGGACCUUCGGGCCUCUUGCCAUCGGAUGUGCCCAGAUGGGAUUAGCUUGUUGGUGCGGUAACGGCUCACCAAGGCGACGAUCCCUAGCUGGUCUGAGAGGAUGACCAGCCGCACUGGAACUGAGACACGGUCCAGACUCCUACGGGAGGCAGCAGUGGGGAAUAUUGCACAAUGGGCGCAAGCCUGAUGCAGCCAUGCCGCGUGUAUGAAGAAGGCCUUCGGGUUGUAAAGUACUUUCAGCGGGGAGGAAGGGAGUAAAGUUAAUACCUUUGCUCAUUGACGUUACCCGCAGAAGAAGCACCGGCUAACUCCGUG